GACGGGACCCCGCACAAGCGGUGGAUCAUGUUGUUUAAUUCGAUGAUACGCGAAGAACCUUACCAGGUCUUGACAUCCCCCCGCGAUGCUUUAGAGAUAAAGCGGAGGUAUUCGGGGAGACAGGUGGUGCAUGGUUGUCGUCAGCUCGUGUCGCGAGAUGUUGGGUUAAGUCCCGUAACGAGCGCAACCCUUGUCCUUAGUUACCAGCACGUUAUGGUGGGCACUCUAAGGAGACUGCCGGUGACAAACCGGAGGAAGGUGGGGAUGACGUCAAGUCAUCAUGGCCCUUACGGCCUGGGCUACACACGUGCUACAAUGGUCGGUACAAAGGGUUGCCAAGCCGCGAGGUGGAGCUAAUCCCAUAAAACCGAUCGUAGUCCGGAUCGCAGUCUGCAACUCGACUGCGUGAAGUCGGAAUCGCUAGUAAUCGUGAAUCAGAAUGUCACGGUGAAUACGUUCCCGGGCCUU
rnacentral:rRNA from 1 species